rnacentral:rRNA from 1 species
UACGGAGGGCGCAAGCGUUAUCCGGAAUUACUGGGCGUAAAGCGCGUGUAGGCGGCUCGGCAAGUCGGGUGUGAAAGCCCUGGGCUUAACCUAGGAAGUGCACUCGAAACUGCCAAGCUUGAGUUCUGGAGAGGAAGGCGGAAUUCUCGGUGUAGAGGUGAAAUGCGUAGAUACCAGGAGGAACACCGGUGGCGAAGGCGGCUUCCUGGACGGAUUAUUGACGCUGAGGCACGAAAGCGUGGGGAGCAAACGGG